UCACAGACCCCUCCCUCGUCUCCUCCACACACUCUCGUGCGCCGCCUCUCACAGAUCUCUUCCUUCCCCGGCGCCACAUCGCCGGCCACCGCAGACCUCCGGCGCCUCUCCUCCCCUCCGCACCACCUCCGGCCCCUCACCCUCGACCGGUCGACACCCAUCACCCCUCGUGGGAUUUCUCCCCUGCGGCUGACCCCAUAUAGAUCGAGGGAGCACGCCCGCCGUGCUGCCCCUUCUCGCCAGUGGCCAGGCUUCAACAGCCAGCCAGACAUGUCGCGCGCGUGGCCAGGGUAGCUGACGCACUGCACGCCUACGGCGACCACAAAGACGCGGCGCCGGCGAGCCUCAAGCGCAGCUUCGGGGCCCCUUCUUCCACGGGUCCUCCAUGAGGCAGCUCCGCCGCAGCCCCUCGGUCGUCCUCCCCCACAUCGCCACCGGUGACCUCGUCAGCAUCCACCGUGCGCUUGCCGUCCAAGGGUCAGAAGAGAAAGGACAGAAUCUGCAUCGUGCUUGCAGAUGAUACAUCUGAGGAGCCAAAGAUCAGAAUGAACAAUUGGAUUGUGAAAUGAUAUAUUUUUGUUUGUUCAGGAAGUUGCUCUAAUUUCUGUCUAUAACUAAAUAAGGAACAAUAGUUCUUUAUGCACAGAGAAACUGGUUGAGAUAUUUAGUAGCUACUAUUACCAUGAUUUUUAUUAUAGCUUGCUAGGUCAUGUAUAGAUGCCAUGUUACUUUACAAGUCAAGUACCUUUUACACUUUAUAUUCUUUAUGCUAACACCAAGCUUGUGUGGUUCUAUAGGUUGUUGAAGUAAGCUGUUUGCUUCCGAAGUUUGCUUACCAUCGUUGAGUAGAGUAACUUCCUGAUGGCAAUGGUUGCAUAUCACAGAGAUACGCUGCUGCUAGCGCAGGCGAGGUGUGCUUCUUGGAACUGGCUAGGUGCGAGCUGGUGAGAUGCUGUCGAG